GAAAGUCUGAAGAGACUGCAAGACUUGAGAUCGGGUGAGGUUAAACGUACUUUCAGGGUAGGGGUAAAAUCCUGUAAUCCCGGAAGGACGACCAGUGGCGAAAGCGUUUAACUAGAACGAAUCUGCCGGUAAGGAACGAAGGCUAGGGUAGCAAACCGGAUUAGAUACCCGGGUAGUCCUAGCUGUAAACAUUGCCCAUUUGAUGUUGCUUUUCCGUUGAGGGAAGGCAGUGUCGGAGCGAAGGUGUUAAAUGGGCCGCUUGGGAAGUAUGGUCGCAAGACUGAAACUUAAAGGAAUUGGCGGGGGAGCACCGCAACGGGAGGAAUGUGCGGUUUAAUUGGAUUCAACGCCGGAAAACUCACCGGGAACGACCUGUGCAUGAGAGUCAACCUGACGAGCUUACUCGAUAGCAGGAGAGGUGGUGCAUGGCCGUCGUCAGCUCGUACCGUAGGGCGUUCACUUAAGUGUGAUAACGAGCGAGACCCACAUCUUUAAUUGCAAAUGUAUAUGAGAAUAUGCAUGCACUUUAGAGAAACCGCCAGCGCUAAGCUGGAGGAAGGAGUGGUCGACGGCAGGUCAGUACGCCCCGAAUUUCCCGGGCUACACGCGCAUUACAAAGAACGGGACAAUACGUUGCAACCUCGAAAGAGGAAGCUAAUCGCGAAACCCGUCCAUAGUUAGGAUUGAGGGCUGUAACUCGCCC
rnacentral:rRNA from 1 species